GGGGAAUAUUGGACAAUGGGCGCAAGCCUGAUCCAGCAAUGCCGCGUGUGUGAAGAAGGCCUGCGGGUUGUAAAGCACUUUCAGUGGGGAGGAAGGCCUCGAUAUUAAUACUAUUGAGGAUUGACGUUACCCACAGAAGAAGCACCGGCUAACUCUGUGCCAGCAGCCGCGGUAAUACAGAGGGUGCAAGCGUUAAUCGGAAUUACUGGGCGUAAAGGGUGCGUAGGUGGUUUCUUAAGUCAGAUGUGAAAGCCCCGGGCUCAACCUGGGAAUUGCAUUUGAUACUGAGUAACUUGAGUAUGGUAGAGGGAAGUGGAAUUUCCAGUGUAGCGGUGAAAUGCGUAGAUAUUGGAAGGAACAUCAGUGGCGAAGGCGACUUCCUGGACCAUUACUGACACUGAGGCACGAAAGCGUGGGGAGCGAAC
rnacentral:rRNA from 1 species